UGGGGAAUUUUGCGCAAUGGGGGAAACCCUGACGCAGCAACGCCGCGUGGAGGAUGAAAUCCCUUGGGAUGUAAACUCCUUUCGAUCGGGAAGAUAAUGACGGUACCGAGAGAAGAAGCCCCGGCUAACUUCGUGCCAGCAGCCGCGGUAAUACGAGGGGGGCAAGCGUUGUUCGGAAUUAUUGGGCGUAAAGGGUGCGUAGGCGGUUUGAUAAGUUUGGUGUGAAAUCUUUGGGCUCAACCCAGAGUCUGCACCGAAAACUGUCGGGCUUGAGUAUGGGAGAGGUGAGUGGAAUUUCCGGUGUAGCGGUGAAAUGCGUAGAUAUCGGAAGGAACACCUGUGGCGAAAGCGGCUCACUGGACCAUUACUGACGCUGAUGCACGAAAGCUAGGGGAGCAAACAG
rnacentral:rRNA from 1 species